UACGUAGGAGACGAGCGUUGUCCGGAAUCACUGGGCGUAAAGCGCGUGGAGGCGGAUGAGCAAGUCUGCUGUGAAAGCUCCUGGCUUAACCGGGAGUGGUCGGUGGAAACUGCUCGUCUGGAGGACGGUAGAGGUAGGUAGAAUUCCCGGUGUAGUGGUGAAAUGCGUAGAGAUCGGGAGGAAUACCUGUGGCGAAGGCGGCCUACUGGGCCGGACCUGACGCUGAGACGCGAAGGCGUGGGGAGCGAACGGG
rnacentral:rRNA from 1 species